rnacentral:rRNA from 1 species
UAAGUAGGUCCCGAGCGUUGUCCGGAUUUAUUGGGCGUAAAGCGAGCGCAGGUGGUUUAUUAAGUCUGGUGUAAAAGGCAGUGGCUCAACCAUUGUAUGCAUUGGAAACUGGUAGACUUGAGUGCAGGAGAGGAGAGUGGAAUUCCAUGUGUAGCGGUGAAAUGCGUAGAUAUAUGGAGGAACACCGGUGGCGAAAGCGGCUCUCUGGCCUGUAAUUGACACUGAGGCUCGAAAGCGUGGGGAGCAAACAGG